rnacentral:rRNA from 1 species
UACGGGAGGCAGCAGUGGGGAAUAUUGGACAAUGGGCGAAAGCCUGAUCCAGCCAUGCCGCGUGUGUGAAGAAGGUCUUCGGAUUGUAAAGCACUUUAAGUUGGGAGGAAGGCAGUCAGCGAAUACCUUGCUGUCUUGACGUUACCGACAGAAUAAGCACCGGCUAACUCUGUGCCAGCAGCCGCGGUAAUACAGAGGGUGCAAGCGUUAAUCGGAAUUACUGGGCGUAAAGCGCGCGUAGGUGGUUUGUUAAGUUGAAUGUGAAAUCCCUGGGCUCAACCUGGGAACUGCAUCCAAAACUGGCAAGCUAGAGUAGGGCAGAGGGUGGUGGAAUUUUCCUGUGUAGCGGUGAAAUGCGUAGAUAUAGGAAGGAACACCAGUGGCGAAGGGCGACCACCUGGGGCUCAUACUGACACUGAGGUGCGAAAGCGUGGGGAGCAAACAGGAUUAAGAUACC